AGAUUUAGCAGAGUAAGAUGGAUGGAAGAAAGAGGAGACUAGUAGAGACAAAUUAACAUGAAGCCACCAGAACGAUUUAAAGGUGAGUCUGAAUGAAGAGGCAGCAAUAAGCCUGGGAAGGAGGUCAUGGGCCUAAGAUACUGUGCAGAGGACCAGAGAAACACUGGGUGAAGGGGAUAAGGAAAGUUGUUCCCAGGAGCAUCCCCUUCC
rnacentral:lncRNA from 1 species